UAUAUCAGGAAGCCUCCACUCCAUUAUUUUAGAACGAAGUCCCCACACGAAACCCUUAACUGGAUUUCACUUAAAGCCAAGCAUUCGGGCACAUCCUUCAAUUUCACUCCAAGACCCAAUUGAGUCUCGUCUCGUGGACUUUUGCAUUUAUUCAGUUGAGAAACAGACAUACAAAUCAACCAAUGAAUCAGCAGCCUUUUGACAUCACAAGUACUAAAAUUCAAAGUAAUUAGAGGACAUAGAUCCACUGUAAAACUUGCUUUUAACCACCUUCCAGCUAUUAACAUCUAGAAAUAGCCGUUUGGAUUACAUGCUGUCAGUUUGUUCCUUAAACAAGUAAUAAUAAUAUAAUUGAGUCUGCAUAAAUUACAGUCAAUUGACCCACUUAUGAAUAGGUCGAGUGGUCAUAACCCAAUUCAUUCUACAAUCGAAGGGCAGAUCUUUUCCUUCAUUCAGCUGAUUCCUCUGUUGACGUCUUAUAUUGAAAUAUUGAUCCUAAAUGGAAGCUUCAAAGUUCUCAUUCAGUAUAUGGCCUCCUAGUGAAAGAACUAGGGCUGCAGUGGUAGAGCGUAUGGAAAAAACACUCUCAUCCACUUCUAUACUUUCUAAGAAAUAUGGUCUGUUUGAUACUGAAGAAGCAUACGCUAUUGCAAAGAGAAUAGAAGAAGAGGCAUUCACAGCUGCUCAAGAUUUUGCAACUUCAGAAUCUGGCGACAGUGGGACUGGGAGCCAUGUAUUGCAGUUCUAUUCAAAGGAGAUUAGUAAGCACAUGUUAGAUGCUGCUAAAAAUCAUGCUUCAAAUAAAAAUCCAAAUAAGGAUAAUCAAAAUUCUUCUUCAGAGGAAGCUUCCAGUCCUGGCACUUAGCUACUGAUAGUUGAUUUGCAUGCCCUACUCUACCUUGUAUUCUGUGGUCAUGUGUUGUGCAAGUGUAAUAUUCAGCAGUUGGGUAAAUAUUUUAUCUUUACCCCAAGAAUUAUAUGCCUUUUGGACAUUAUAGGUUUAUUAUCUACCGUUUUUCUCUUUGUUUAAUUUGUAUUUAUUUUGUGGUUUAUGAGAUGAAUAUUUCAGUUU